AUAUUUAGAUCGGUUUACAUUGUACUGUAUCAUUGUAAUUACAAAAACAAAAUGGAAACUGAACCCGCCUUGCCUAUAAUUGAAGAUGAUUUUAAUGAAGAUAUUGAUAUGCAUAAACCCCCAACGACUCCUAUAGAAUAUCUAAGACGUGUCAGGCAUGAGGCAUCAAGUUGUUCACAAGUUAUGAUAGCAGACAUCGAUACCACACAAUUUGAAAAAAAUAUAACCUAUAAUUGCCAAAAUUUAAUGAGUGAGUACAAUCCUACAAAUCCACAAUUUAUUCCUUCUAAUGAAAGUCAGAAUGACAUUAUCCAAGAUUUUGGCCUAAUGAAAGAAAAAAUAAGAAAACUAAAAUCUAAACAAAUAUUUUUAAAAAAACAUAAAAGACAUAUAUUGCCUCAAAAUUCAAAUCAAGAUUGGUAUCUAUUCUGUUUUGGCAAGCCUUUAAAUGAAAAUGACAAGUGUAAUGAAGUACAGAAGCAUAUAACUCCUACUCCUCCCUAUCUAAGCCUAAUCUUAUCAUUUAGACAUCCACUAGUUCUAAAAUUGUUAGGUUAUUUAAACAAUUGGAUAGAAGUUGAUGGUUUUGAUUUUAGCAAGGGAUCUUGGAUAUAUGCAUUGGUGUCAUUAUUGGAAAAACCACUAUCUAGGGAUGCUUAUCAUGCUCUUAGAUCAUUAGUCAAGUUGUUAAGAAAAAUAAGAUCAGAACUGGUAAACAUGGUGCUCUACUUAAAUAUAUAUUUGAUUCCUAUCUACACACAAAUACAAUUAACUUUAUUUGUAGUUUAAUAUGAUUGCUCCAAUAUUUUAGGUAUAAAGAAAAAUGUAGGGAUAUAAAAAAGUAAAUAAGCAUCUGUAAAUCUUUAAGUGAGAGAUGCAAGCUUUUCCCCCAAAAAUGUUUAAUAUCUUGGUUUAAAGUAAGAGUGUAAACAAUAUACAUUCAUUAUUUACAAAAAAUAUUUCUAAGAAAAAUCUCGACCAUAAAUUUGGAGGAUAUAAAUCUUGGCAUUUUUACUGAGGUUUCUUGUAUGAAUUUAAAAUUUUCAUCCAAGAUAGCAAAGAAAACAUCCUUUUAUCUCCAUUGAAUGUCCUAAUAUGCAUUAUUACAAUAUAUUUUGGACAACGUGAUUUGGCAGAUGAUCCAACUCUAUAAUUUUUGGCUAAAUAUUAG